GCCAGCGUGGCGUAGGGGUUUGUGUGCUGGACUAUGACUCUGGGAAUCAGGGUUCGGUUCCCAGCUCAGCCA